AGGCGGAGAGGGCGGGAACAAGACUGUAGAGCAGCGAAAUCACGUGGCCCACGACAGCCAAUGAGAUCCCGACCUCAAUGCAACUGUGGACCAGCCCAGAAUUCUCACCCUGGAGCACAAGAUCCAAAACCAACAUCAAAUGAAUACUACUGGAAAUCAUCACUACUGGAAAGAAUGGAAAUCUUCUCUCCUACAGCUGCAUUCCCAAUGCAAGUAACUUUUCAAAAUGUGUCUUUUUGGCCCAUUAUUCUGCUAUGUUAUCUUUCCCUACUGGAAUAAAAGUUCUUUCGGCUUUUACACUUA